rnacentral:rRNA from 1 species
AACGAACGCUGGCGGCAGGCCUAACACAUGCAAGUCGAACGCCCCGCAAGGGGAGUGGCAGACGGGUGAGUAACGCGUGGGAACCUUCCCUGUGGUACGGAAUAACUGACCGAAAGGUUGGCUAAUACCGUAUACGUCCGAAAGGAGAAAGAUUUAUCGCCAUAGGAUGGGCCCGCGUCGGAUUAGCUAGUUGGUGAGGUAAUGGCUCACCAAGGCGACGAUCCGUAGCUGGUCUGAGAGGAUGAUCAGCCACACUGGGACUGAGACACGGCCCAGACUCCUACGGGAGGCAGCAGUGGGGAAUAUUGGACAAUGGGCGCAAGCCUGAUCCAGCCAUGCCGCGUGAGUGAUGAAGGUCUUCGGAUUGUAAAACUCUUUCGCCGGGGAAGAUAAUGACGGUACCCGGAGAAGAAGCUCCGGCUAACUUCGUGCCAGCCGCCGCCGUAA